CCAAUGGUGGUUCCGUGGUAGAAUUCUCGCCUUCCACGUGAGAGACCUGGGUUUGAUUCUUGGCCAAUGCA
rnacentral:tRNA from 1 species